rnacentral:snRNA from 1 species
AUACUUACCUGGCAGGGGAGAUACCAUGAUCACGAAGGUGGUUUUCCCAGGGCGAGGCUUAUCCAUUGCACUCCAAAUGAGGGAAACUCGACUGCAUAAUUUGUGGUAGUGGGGGACUGCAUUCACACUCUCCCCUG